rnacentral:tRNA from 1 species
GCACAUAUGGUACGGCUGCCGGGUCAGACUGCAAAUCCGACUGUGCAGGUUCGACUCCUGCUAUGUGCU